rnacentral:rRNA from 1 species
GACGAACGCUGGCGGCGUGCCUAAUACAUGCAAGUAGAACGCUGAAGGAGGAGCUUUCUUCUCUGGAUGAGUUGCGAACGGGUGAGUAACGCGUAGGUAACCUACCUGGUAGCGGGGGAUAACUAUUGGAAACGAUAGCUAAUACCGCAUAAGAGUAGAUGUCGCAUGACAUUUGCUUAAAAGGUGCAAUUGCAUCACUACCAGAUGGACCUGCGUUGUAUUAGCUAGUUGGUGAGGUAACGGCUCACCAAGGCAACGAUACAUAGCCGACCUGAGAGGGUGAUCGGCCACACUGGGACUGAGACACGGCCCAGACUCCUACGGGAGGCAGCAGUAGGGAAUCUUCGGCAAUGGACGGAAGUCUGACCGAGCAACGCCGCGUGAGUGAAGAAGGUUUUCGGAUCGUAAAGCUCUGUUGUAAGAGAAGAACGAGUGUGAGAGUGGAAAGUUCACACUGUGACGGUAUCUUACCAGAAAGGGACGGCUAACUACGUG